rnacentral:sRNA from 12 species
CCCUGACAGUGACAUGGUGUUACUGACAUUAACCCAGACAGGAGAUCGACAUG